AGUCUUAACGGGAUGUAAAUUAGUAUAUCAUCUACAUACUGUGGGAUGGUUCCCUGCUUAAACCUUAGGUUUUUCAAGUCUUUUUUUUUUUUUUUUUCAGUUCCUGAUCCAAAAAGUGAGGACUGUCUUUAAACCCCUGUGGGAGAACUGUGUAAGUAUAUUACUGCUUUUCUCUUGAAAUGGGAUUUUCCGAUUCAAAGGCAAACAAACUGGGAGUCAGCUAGUCUCCUGUGCUGAGUCCUGAAGGUCACUAGAGGGCGUGUGCUCCCACCUAUCCUGACCUGAUGCAGCCAUAGAGAGAGUGCCAGAGGCCAGAGUCCAUGGAGGACAGUGCCCAACACCUCAUUCUCAGGACUGAUCACCAGAAGGUGCCUGUGUGGGCUGUGCAACGAUGCUUUCCACAAAGGAGCCAAGAUGGCAAACUCAGUCCAGAUGGCUUCCCAAAGGGAGUCAAGAGGAUCAUGGUUCACACCCAUCGUUGCACACGGAGUAACUGGUUAAUUUGCUGGUUAAUAAAAUGUGCUGCUGUGACUUCCUGGGAUGAUGUCCUGGGAGGACCCCUGUGUGGCAGCUGCCUGGGUCUGUACAUAUAGAGGGUCUUGAUAGCCUAUUUUGGGUUCUGUGGACCUGGGCUCCCAACCAGUCUGGAGGGACAUGUGCAUGGCAGAACAGGCAAGAAGGGUGCCAUAAGGCAGAGUGCUGAGCUGUGAGGAGGGCACGGAGGGGUGUCAUGUGGGUCCUUGAGGUCAGCCUGGGACCCUCAAGCCUUUGGAAGCAUAGGCUGAGCUUGGAGCUUUAGGGCAAGGCAGUACACAGGGGUGGGGAAGUGUGAAACAUGCAGCCAUCUUGAGAGUUUUCCUGGCCCACUGUCGGGAUGAGCAAAUAGCCCCAGGCCAUGUGGGCAGAAGCAUUGGGCCAAGGCCUCACCUCUGCCCCAUGGGGUUCCCACAGGUGUCUCUGACCUCCUACGUUGUCCAAAGGUGGGACAGGACCCUUUGUCUAAUGCUGGUGAACACAGGUCAGCGGCUACUUCUCUUAGAAGUCGCUGACACCUCUUUCCCAACGGACAACACCCCUGUGAGCCUCUAGCCCAGCCCUUAGCUAGACAGGACGUGGUGCUGCACAGAGAGGCCUCUCAGGCCAUGGGGCUCGCUGGGGCGAGGCUCCUCGAGCAUGGGUGGAGGAGUCUCCUACUGCACCUCUGCGAAGCCCCGCCCCACCCACUUUGAGUCGGCCAGGCCACACCCCUCCACCUCUGUUAGAUGGUCUGGCCACACCCUCUCCUGUGGC
rnacentral:lncRNA from 1 species